rnacentral:tRNA from 1 species
GCCGAGGUGGCCUAGCCUAGUCAAGGCGCCGGGCUCGCCCUCGCGAGGGCGAUACUCAUAAUCUAGGCUAAGGUGGAUUCCGGAGAGGAGAGUUGACUUCCCGGACAUCGAGGGUGCAAAUCCCUCCCUCGGCA